rnacentral:rRNA from 1 species
ACGGGGUGCAGCAGGCGCGAAAACUUCACAAUGUGGGAAACCGCGAUGAGGGGAUUCCAAGUGCCAACACUUUGUGUUGGCUGUUCACCUGCCUAAAAAGCUGGUGAAGUAAGGGCCGGGUAAGACGGGUGCCAGCCGCCGCGGUAAUACCUGCGGCCCGAGUGGUGGUCGUUAUUAUUGAGCCUAAAGCGUCCGUAGCCGGUUCAGUAAAUCUCUGGGUAAAUCGGGCAGCUCAACUGUCCGACUUCCGGAAAGACUGCUGAACUUGGGACCGGGGGAGGUUGGAGGUACUCCUGGGGUAGGGGUGAAAUCCUGUAAUCCUAGGGGGACCACCAGUGGCGAAGGCGUCCAACCAAAACGGCUCCGACGGUAAGGGACGAAGCCCUGGGGCGCAAACGGGAUUAGAUACCCCGGUAGUCCAGGGUGUAAACGCUGCAGGCUUGGUGUUGGGGGUCCUACGAGGGCGCCCAGUGCCGGAGAGAAGUUGUUAAGCCUGCCGCUUGGGGAGUACGUCCGCAAGGAUGAAACUCAAAGGAAUUGGCGGGGGAGCACAGCA